GGGGAGCUCCGUGCCCCCCGGCUCGCCCGGGCCUGGCGGGCAGAGCCCCGGCGCCGUUCCGCACUUGCGGAGUCCCGCCGGGGCGGCAGUGGGACCCUCCGCGGCGGCGGGGCGAGGCAGAGCCCUGGCACCCCCGGCCCGCUCCCGAGCUAAAAAAUGACCUUUCCCUGCAUAAUUUUGGAGCAGAAAUAAAAGAAGGCUUGCAGCUACCAGAAAGUCAUUAAGGCAUUAGUUUCUCUGAGAAGACAGAUCUGAAGAAAAUUCAAGAAAAUGAGAAAAUAGAUAUAAAUAAGGUGGAGUUGAAUACAAUGCCCACAUUUGUGGUUAGCUACAAGCAAUAUGUUAUGAAGAUGGUGGUAUUCAGACACGUACCCAACCAAUUUAAUUCAGAUAAAUUGGAUACAAGGCUUUGACCAGCAUGAGAAGAGCAGUGAGCAAGUUGCAUUUUAAAUCUCAUGUGAAAGCAGACAUCACUACAGAUGCAGAGCAGAGAUGUCAGUGAGAACUACCAACACGACUGGAUUGGCAGCAUCACAGGCUGCUGGAGGAGCUCAGCAGGAGAAGAGCCAGCACUGCACCAACAAUGUGGUUUGAGCAGAGGUUGGUGGUGGUCCAGCUCAUUGGAACUUUUGUGCUCGAACCAGGGGGAUGCUAUAGAUGGAGCUAAUCUGAAUCUCAUCAGAGUAUUAUAAAAUACAGUCUUCAGAGGGAUAGUCUUCUACUUCCCUAUUCUGGCAUCUGAAAGAAGGAGGGAGACUCCCAUCAAUAUAGAGAGAGAAAUGCUGUUUAUUACACUGAACUGAGUGACCAUGCACUGAAGAGAGGUUUUCUUUUAAUGGAAAAGCCAUUUUUUGUUCUCAGACUAAAGUUAAAAACACAGCACUGCACCAGGGUUCUUCAAUCCCACCGAAGAGCACAGAGCUGAUCUCUAAGUCUGCUAUCUGCUCCUGCUAUGUCCUGAUGAAUGUUUGGUCCAGUACCAGACAGGAUGCAAAGCUGAACACCCAUAGCCAUCACUCUCCUGCUCUUCACAGUAGAUGUUGCUACCCUACAAUUAUCAAGAUUAAUAUGGUGUUGGAGAAUAUGACUGGAUUCUGCCCACACCACCAUGGCAUGCUGAUAAAGCAAUGAUAGCCUACAAAAGGAAAUAAUUCUCCACCUUUUUUUUUUUUGAUCAAGUGCCAUGGGAAUAGGACCUACCCAGUGGAGAUUUCAGUGUGGCAGAAGGAUGGGAAGCAUGGAGAUUUCUGAGAUGGUUUGGAUGCUGCUUCUACCAAGUAGAAGUGAUGUUAAACUGAAAUUGUUCAUCAAACUGUCACCUCAUACGGAUUAUUCUAUUGGAAAGUCAAGAAAACCACCACUGAUUUUAUUUUUUUUCCCCAAAAAUAUAAAACAGAUAUCUUGUGUAAGAGGAGACAAUGUUCAAACACCCAAGCUCAAGAAGGGGCUAAAAGGAAAAGCCUGAGGUUAGAGCAGAGAGAAACUGUCAAAAGUUUUAAAAGAAAUUUUAUGAAGCCAUAUUUGUAUGCAAAAUCUAUGAUCACUUUGAAAUCAAAAAAGCUACUGUUAGGUUAUUUGCACAAAGUAGCUUUAUAGUCAGAAAACCCCUCAUCACUUCUAUCCCACUUUAAAAAAUACAUUCUAUACCAUUCUGAAAUCCCAAAAGACAAUAAAAAUCACUUGGAUUUAUGAUGCUUGGGUGUAAAGGAAUUAGAUGCAAGUAGCUGGGUUUUCACAGAAAUAUUAUUCUGGAACAUUUGAAUAACACAACUUUUGGACCAGGUGCUUGGGUUGUGUGUGUGAUGUGAGCACGUGAGCACUAUGAGGUGGACUUGUGAUGUCACUGCAUUUCCUGUUCAUCACUUAGCACAGCUGAACAUCAUGGCCCCUGUAAAGCCAAACAAGAGGUUGUCAGUGACUUCAGUGGAGCCAGAAUUUCAUCCCAGGCCAGGAGCUACUGAUGGAGAGUUCCACCGGCUGGUGACUUGGAGCAACUUCAAGUCAGUGAAGCUGAAGGGAAAAAAUUCCUUGUCACAUAACUGAUCUCUUUGGCAACCCAGGGUACCCAAAUUUCACUGGAUUUUCUACCAAGUUUCCAUUCAUGUUGCAACUAUGUAGAUAAUAUGUUAAGGCAUCAUUCUUAAAAAAGUAAGGAAUUAAUUUCUCUAAGAGAUGGGUGAUUUGUAGAAGACAUUUGUGUAUUUUUGCAUGCUAAAUGUGCUUUAUAUUUACAAAUAAAUUUGCAU
ensembl:lncRNA